AAUCUGUGGUGCAGGCAACAUCGAAGCAAAUCCUUGUACCUCUCCCAGGCAUCAUACUACUCUCAUUAUCGAACUGCACAAAAGAAGAUAUGUCAUUUCUCAAUCU
rnacentral:snoRNA from 1 species